rnacentral:rRNA from 1 species
AACGAACGCUGGCGGCAUGCCUAACACAUGCAAGUCGAACGAGACCUUCGGGUCUAGUGGCGCACGGGUGCGUAACGCGUGGGAACCUGCCCUUAGGUUCGGAAUAACUCCCCGAAAGGGGUGCUAAUACCGGAUAAUGUCUUCGGACCAAAGAUUUAUCGCCUUUGGAUGGGCCCGCGUUGGAUUAGCUAGUUGGUAGGGUAAAAGCCUACCAAGGCGACGAUCCAUAGCUGGUCUGAGAGAAUGAUCAGUCACACUGGGACUGAGACACGGCCCAGACUCCUACGGGAGGCAGCAGUGGGGAAUAUUGGACAAUGGGCGAAAGCCUGAUCCAGCAAUGCCGCGUGAGUGAUGAAGGCCUUAGGGUUGUAAAGCUCUUUUACCCGGGAUGAUAAUGACAGUACCGGGAGAAUAAGCUCCGGCUAACUCCGUG